UACGAAGGGGGCUAGCGUUGCUCGGAAUUACUGGGCGUAAAGCGCACGUAGGCGGCUUGUUAAGUCAGGGGUGAAAUCCUGGAGCUCAACUCCAGAACUGCCUUUGAUACUGGCGAGCUUGAGUUCGGGAGAGGUGAGCGGAACUGCGAGUGUAGAGGUGAAAUUCGUAGAUAUUCGCAAGAACACCAGUGGCGAAGGCGGCUCACUGGCCCGAUACUGACGCUGAGGUGCGAAAGCGUGGGGAGCAAACAGG
rnacentral:rRNA from 1 species